CACAGAGGCAACUGGAUUCCACGACCUUGAGCCAGGGAGCACAUGGAAGACCACCCAAAUCUACCAGAAGUUUGGUUAAAACCAAAAUGCUGGCAGCCAGGAGCAGCCAGGGAUGUUGCCACCCUAACUCAGGAAAGAGAGUUACCAGCUGCUGGCUUUAGAGAACGAACUUUUUUCUCCUGCUGCACCCUUAGAUCCAAAACUUUUCUAGACUCUGUUGGGCUUCCUGAUUACAAGUGAGAAAAAAAAAUCUCUGAUUUCUGAUCGUUUUUCUUCCCUCCCUCCCUCCCUCCCUCCCUCCUCCUCCCUCCCUCCCUCCCUUCCUUCCUUCCUUCCUUCCUUCCUUCCAGGUGUCACGUGUCCCAGGCUAACCUCAAAUUCCCUGUGUAGCAGAGGAUGCCCUUGUUCUUUUGAUCCUCCAACACCUCCCAAGUGCUGGGAGUAUAGUCAUAUGCCUCCAUGUCCUGUUUUUGCAGUGUUGGGGACAGAAGCCAGGGCUUUGUGCAUGACAGGCACAACCAAAAUAAUCCCAGUCCUAUAUUAUUUUUCUUCUUUAACAGGGGAUAACAAGAGCACAGUGGAAGGAGGGUUUCUAUGUGUGGCGCUAGAGAUUUCCCACAAGAGAUUUCCUCUUUAAACACUGAAUGGACGACAAUUGCUUCAGCAGCCAUACUGGGCAGAGAAGGCUUCAGAAUGAAAGAUGAAUUAGUUUGCCAGGACUACGAUGACACAAUGCAACAAACUGGGAAAAUAAACAGAUCUUGGGAGGAGAUUGCCAUGUAAAAACACAGAUUUGGAAGGAAAACACAGACUCAGGAGGAAGAAAGUUUGUUUAUAUGGUGAAUCACAUCAAUUAAUUUACAUGUUUUGAGUUAUCCCUGUAUCUUUGGGAUGAAGCCUACUUGAUCAUGAUUUUCUUUAUAAAAUUUUGAAUUCAUAAGAUGUCAUGACACCUCAUUUUGAUGGAAUGAACCUUUAAGCCUUCAUCCAGAAGCUGAUGGAAAUAGAAGCAGACACCCACAGCUAAACACUGAACUGAACUGGAAUCCAGUCACAGAGAGGGAGGAGUGAUGAGCAAAAGGGUCAAGACCAGGCUGGUGAAACCCACAGAAACAGCUGACCUGAACAAGGAGGAGCUCAUGGUCCCCAGACUGAUAGCUGGGAAACCAGCAUGGGACUGAUCCAGAUCCCAUGAACAUGGGUGUCAGUGAGGAGACCUCGGAAAUCUAUGGGGCCUCUUGUAGUAGAUCAGUACUUAUCCUUAGCAUAGGAAUGGACUUUGGGAGCCCAUUCCACAUAGAGGGAUACUCCUUCAACCUAGAUACAUGGGGAAGGGCCUAGGCCCUAUCCCAAAGGAUGUGACAGAUCCUGAAGACACCUUCCAUGGAAGGCCUCACCCUUCCUGGGGAGCAGAUAUGGUAUGGGAUAGAUAGGGUGUUAGUAGGAGG
rnacentral:lncRNA from 1 species